AGACCCGAAACCCGGUGAUCUAGCCAUGGGCAGGUUGAAGGUUGGGUAACACUAACUGGAGGACCGAACCGACUAAUGUUGAAAAAUUAGCGGAUGACCUGUGGCUGGGGGUGAAAGGCCAAUCAAACCGGGAGAUAGCUGGUUCUCCCCGAAAGCUAUUUAGGUAGCGCCUCGUGAAUUCAUCUCCGGGGGUAGAGCACUGUUUCGGCUAGGGGGCCAUCCCGGCUUACCAACCCGAUGCAAACUGCGAAUACCGGAGAAUGUUAUCACGGGAGACACACGGCGGGUGCUAACGUCCGUCGUGAAGAGGGAAACAACCCAGACCGCCAGCUAAGGUCCCAAAGUCAUGGUUAAGUGGGAAACGAUGUGGGAAGGCCCAGACAGCCAGGAUGUUGGCUUAGAAGCAGCCAUCAUUUAAAGAAAGCGUAAUAGCUCACUGGUCGAGUCGGCCUGCGCGGAAGAUGUAACGGGGCUAAACCAUGCACCGAAGCUGCGGCAGCGACGUUUAUGCGUUGUUGGGUAGGGGAGCGUUCUGUAAGCCUGCGAAGGUGGCCUGUGAGGGUUGCUGGAGGUAUCAGAAGUGCGAAUGCUGACAUAAGUAACGAUAAAGCGGGUGAAAAGCCCGCUCGCCGGAAGACCAAGGGUUCCUGUCCAACGUUAAUCGGGGCAGGGUGAGUCGACCCCU
rnacentral:rRNA from 1 species